UCUUUCUCGGUUACCGAAGCGGGCGCGAAGGUGAGGUGUAGCGCUGUGUUCUUUAUUCCGGGUGUGGGUUGUAGGGUCUUGCGGACCAUCCGAGCUUUAAUGAGUUCGCUAAAGAAGAUGCAGACGGGCAAGUAGAGCCAGCAUGCCGGUGGCCCGGAGCUGGGUUUGUCGCAAAACCUAUGUGACCCCGCGGAGACCCUUCGAGAAGUCCCGCCUCGACCAAGAGCUGAAGCUGAUCGGCGAGUAUGGGCUCCGGAACAAACGUGAGGUCUGGAGGGUCAAAUUUACCCUGGCCAAGAUCCGCAAGGCUGCCCGGGAGCUGCUGACGCUGGAUGAGAAAGACCCGCGGCGUCUGUUUGAAGGCAAUGCCCUGCUGCGGCGACUCGUCCGUAUCGGGGUGCUGGAUGAGGGCAAGAUGAAGCUGGAUUACAUCUUGGGCCUGAAGAUUGAGGAUUUCUUGGAGAGACGCCUGCAGACCCAGGUCUUCAAGCUGGGCCUGGCCAAGUCCAUCCACCACGCCCGUGUGCUGAUCCGCCAGCGCCAUAUCAGCCCUUGGAGGUGAUGAAGGUGUGAGCUCCCCUUGAGGGUGCAGAUUGACCCCCUACAAACAGCUCACGGGGGAGCUGGGGGCAGCCUCAUCCCCCCCGUAGCCCAGCGCAAGGGUCACUGCGGCUGGAGCCGUACACCUUGCGAAGGCUUCUACGAGGCGUGCAGGUAGCUGGACAGGUUUCCCUUUGGCUGGUGCCCUAAGCCCACCACCUCCAGGGGCCUGGGUUAGCCCGUUCCCUACUCACCCGACUUCCUGCGUCUGCUCUGACCCCGGUGUCGGACGACGAGGACGAGGGGCAGCAGGACGAAGGCCACUGAGACCCCAGUCAGGAUGUUCAGCCGGUCCAUCAGCAGGUCCCUGUGGGGUCCUGACCAUGGACAGGGGUCACCCAGGCCCUGGCGAUGCUUCAGGGAGGUUGCACGUUCCUGCUGCACCGCAGAGCUCAGAUCAGCAGAGACACAUGUUUAACAUCUGCCUACAGCUCCGUGGAGGCAUUGAGGUUGUAUCCAUAUCCUGGCUAAUGUGAAUAAUGCUGCAGUGAACAUAGGAGUGCAGAUAUCUCUCCGAGAUCGUGGUUUUAUCUGCUUUGGCUAUAUACCCGGAAGUGGAAUUGCUGGAUCCUAUGGCAUUGAGGUUGUAUCCAUAUCCUGGCUAAUGUGAAUAAUGCUGCAGUGAACAUAGGAGUGCAGAUAUGUCUCCGAGAUCGUGGUUUCAUCUGCUUUGGCUGUAUACCUGGAAGUGGAAUUGCUGGAUCCUAUGUGAGCUCGGGCCCUCCGGCUUCUCCUCGGCCCGUUCGCGAAACGAUGUCUCACGCCCUCGCGAGCUGCUGCGUCGUGUGGGAAGAGAAGCGCAGAGACAGGUUUCCCUUCGGCUGGUGCCCUAAGCCCACCACCUCCAGGGGUCCGGGUCACCCUGUUCCCUACUCACCCGACUUCCUGCGUCUGCUCUGACCCCAGUGUCGGACGAGGAGGACGAGGGGCAGCAGGACGAAGGCCACCGAGACCCCGAUCAGGACGUUCAGAAAACAAUUUCUGCACGUCAUAAACCCCAGAUGUGAGCUCCAGACACGGUCCAAAUAUGCCAUCAAGUGCCACGAGCCCGAUGCUGGCUUUCGAGCUGGAUGGUCAGAAGAUCAAUGGUUCCUGCCCAAGGUGGGCCGAGCCAAAUCACAUGAGCCCUAAAAGCAGAGGAGCUUUUCUGGCUGGAGGGAGGAGGGAGAUGGGGCAGGCCUGCAAAUCAGGGACACCUGAAGCAUAAGAGGGGCUCAACUUACCGUUGCCAGAGGACAGACACAGGGAAAACACCGGAAGGAUGCAGGCAGCCUCUUGGAGCAGACCAGCCCCCAGCUGACAGCUCAGCAGGCACUGGCACUCGGUGAUGUCAUGACCUUUCUGUGGACGAGUAGCUCCAGGCAGGGAUAUUCAUCCAGGGAACUCUCCAAAGCAGGGUGAGAGCUGCCCCUCCGAGGUCACAUCCAUCCUUUUGCUGGUCUUACUGCCUGACCUUGUCUGUUUUUCUCUCUCUCUUUCAAGCCCACACAUACUCCCUCAACAGCUGCAAUCUGGAAGAAAUUAUUCUUCUACACAGCCAGACUUCCCCAGUUUCAGGAAAUUCCAGGCUGGCAGGGGGAGGGGCCGAGCUGGGGGCCGCCCUGUCCAUCCAUCCAUCCCCCGCCCCGUCUGCCGUGUUCUCUGGGCGGGCGCACACCCAGUGCCAGCCUCCUCCCCUGGCCCGCACUCAGCCCGGAGGGGCCUCAGCUUUUCCACCGCUACUUCCUAGUCCUUUAAAUCCUAGAGGCAAA